rnacentral:rRNA from 1 species
GGGGGAAUAUUGCACAAUGGGGGAAACCCUGAUGCAGCAACGCCGCGUGAAGGAAGACGGUUUUCGGAUUGUAAACUUCUGUUCUUAGUGAAGAAUAAUGACGGUAGCUAAGGAGCAAGCCACGGCUAACUACGUGCCAGCAGCCGCGGUAAUACGUAGGUGGCAAGCGUUGUCCGGAAUUACUGGGUGUAAAGGGAGCGCAGGCGGGAGACCAAGUCAGCUGUGAAAACUACGGGCUUAACCUGUAGACUGCAGUUGAAACUGGUUUUCCUUGAGUGAAGUAGAGGUUGGCGGAAUUCCGAGUGUAGCGGUGAAAUGCGUAGAUAUUCGGAGGAACACCGGUGGCGAAGGCGGCCAACUGGGCUUUAACUGACGCUGAGGCUCGAAGGUGCGGGUAUCGAACAGGAUUAGAUACCC